rnacentral:rRNA from 1 species
GAUGAACGCUGGCGGCGUGCCUAAUACAUGCAAGUCGAGCGAACAGACGAGGAGCUUGCUCCUCUGACGUUAUCGGCGGACGGGUGAGUAACACGUGGAUAACCUACCUAUAAGACUGGGAUAACUUCGGGAAACCGGAGCUAAUACCGGAUAAUAUAUUGAACCUCAUGGUUCAAUAGUGAAAGACGGUUUUGCUGUCACUUAUAGAUUGAUCCGCGCCUCAUUAGCUAGUUGGUAAGGUAACGGCUUACCAAGGCAACGAUGCGUAAACGACCCGAAGGGGUGAUUGGCCAGACUGGAACUGAGACACGGCCCAGACUCCUACAGGGAGACACAGUAGGGAAUCUUACGCGAUGGGCGAAUGGCUGACAGAGCAAAGCGGCGUGAGUGAUGAAGGUGUUCGGAUCGGAGAACUCUGUUAGUAGUGGAGUACUAAUGUGUAAGUAACUAUGCACGUCUUGACGGUACCUAAUCAGAAAGCCACGGCUAACUACGUG